CCUGGCUCACGACGAACGCUGGCGGCGCGCCUAACACAUGCAAGUCGAACGAGCGAGAGAGAGCUUGCUUUCUCGAGCGAGUGGCGAACGGGUGAGUAACGCGUGAGGAACCUGCCUCAAAGAGGGGGACAACAGUUGGAAACGACUGCUAAUACCGCAUAAGCCCACGGCUCGGCAUCGAGCAGAGGGAAAAGGAGCAAUCCGCUUUGAGAUGGCCUCGCGUCCGAUUAGCUAGUUGGUGAGGUAAUGGCCCACCAAGGCGACGAUCGGUAGCCGGACUGAGAGGUUGAACGGCCACAUUGGGACUGAGACACGGCCCAGACUCCUACGGGAGGCAGCAGUGGGGAAUAUUGCACAAUGGGGGAAACCCUGAUGCAGCGACGCCGCGUGGAGGAAGAAGGUCUUCGGAUUGUAAACUCCUGUUGUUGAGGAAGAUAAUGACGGUACUCAACAAGGAAGUGACGGCUAACUACGUGCCAGCAGCCGCGGUAAAACGUAGGUCACAAGCGUUGUCCGGAAUUACUGGGUGUAAAGGGAGCGCAGGCGGGAAGACAAGUUGGAAGUGAAAUCCAUGGGCUCAACCCAUGAACUGCUUUCAAAACUGUUUUUCUUGAGUAGUGCAGAGGUAGGCGGAAUUCCCGGUGUAGCGGUGGAAUGCGUAGAUAUCGGGAGGAACACCAGUGGCGAAGGCGGCCUACUGGGCACCAACUGACGCUGAGGCUCGAAAGUGUGGGUAGCAAACAGGAUUAGAUACCCUGGUAGUCCACACUGUAAACGAUGAUUACUAGGUGUUGGAGGAUUGACCCCUUCAGUGCCGCAGUUAACACAAUAAGUAAUCCACCUGGGGAGUACGACCGCAAGGUUGAAACUCAAAGGAAUUGACGGGGGCCCGCACAAGCAGUGGAGUAUGUGGUUUAAUUCGACGCAACGCGAAGAACCUUACCAAGUCUUGACAUCCUGCGACGGUGCUGGAAACAGUACUUUCCUUCGGGACGCAGAGACAGGUGGUGCAUGGUUGUCGUCAGCUCGUGUCGUGAGAUGUUGGGUUAAGUCCCGCAACGAGCGCAACCCUUAUGGUCAGUUACUACGCAAGAGGACUCUGGCCAGACUGCCGUUGACAAAACGGAGGAAGGUGGGGAUGACGUCAAAUCAUCAUGCCCUUUAUGACUUGGGCUACACACGUACUACAAUGGCGUUAAACAAAGAGAAGCAAGACCGCGAGGUGGAGCAAAACUCAGAAACAACGUCCCAGUUCGGACUGCAGGCUGCAACUCGCCUGCACGAAGUCGGAAUUGCUAGUAAUCGCAGAUCAGCAUGCUGCGGUGAAUACGUUCCCGGGCCUUGUACACACCGCCC
rnacentral:rRNA from 1 species